rnacentral:rRNA from 1 species
UACGUAGGUGGCGAGCGUUGUCCGGAUUUACUGGGCGUAAAGAGCGCGCAGGCGGUCGUACAAGUCGCGUGUGAAAGCCCCCGGCUCAACUGGGGAGGGUCACGCGAUACUGUUCGACUCGAAGGCAGGAGAGGGAAGUGGAAUUCCCGGUGUAGUGGUGAAAUGCGUAGAUAUCGGGAGGAACACCAGUGGCGAAGGCGACUUCCUGGCCUGUUCUUGACGCUGAGGCGCGAAAGCUAGGGUAGCAAACGGGG